CCUGCUGGCCGGACUCCAAGACACAGUCUUACAUAAUGCCUUGCUGCGAAGACAAUGUACUUGCCAAAGUAUGAAGAUAAGUGAUUCCUUUGCCGGUCGAGUUGUGAAAGUUUUUAGAAAUUCUCUUAAGCUCGUUAGGAGAUUUAAAGGAUCUGGGUAAAUCUAUCAGACACCCUUUUUAUUCUCUCCGUUGGAAAUACACAUUAGCCAACUUACUGCUGGCAUCAAGAACGAAACUAUUGACUCUCGUAGUUCGAUAAAGUCGUACAGCCAGUACAGUGUUUUGCGCUCGGCACUUUCCGAACACGAUGGAGAAUGCUGAUACAUAUUCAUGGAUCGCAUAGCCCUGGGUGCAUGCAAAGUGCUCAUUGUCACGAUUCAACAAGGAGUGAAUAUGCAAUCACUUCCGAAGAAACGCAUAGGGAGAAACACGACCUGCGCCAUGCGUGCUCUAUGA